UACGUAGGGGGCAAGCGUUGUCCGGAUUUAUUGGGCGUAAAGAGCGUGUAGGCGGCCAGACAGGUCCGUUGUGAAAACUCGAGGCUCAACCUCGAGACGCCGAUGGAAACCGUAUGGCUAGAGUCCGGAAGAGGAGAGCGGAAUUCCGUGGAUGUGCGGUGAAAUGACGCAGAUAUCAGGAAGAACACCCGUGGCGAAGGCGGUCUCUGGGCCUACCUGACGCUGAGGAGCGAAAGCGUGGGGAGCGAACAGG
rnacentral:rRNA from 1 species